GACGAACCGAGCAAACGUUAUUCGGAAUCACUGGGCUUAAAGGGCGCGUAGGCGGGCAUCCAAGUCCGUGGUGAAAUCCGGCAGCUUAACUGUCGAACUGCCGCGGAUACUGGGUGUCUCGAGGGAGGUAGGGGCGCGCGGAACUAUUGGUGGAGCGGUGAAAUGCGUUGAUAUCAAUAGGAACUCCGGUGGCGAAGGCGGCGCGCUGGACCUCUUCUGACGCUGAGGCGCGAAAGCCAGGGGAGCAAACGGG
rnacentral:rRNA from 1 species